rnacentral:piRNA from 1 species
GCUGAUUUUAUAAACUUUUGCCCAGGGC